UAUAUAUAUAUAUAUAUAUAUAUAUAUAUAAUUACUCUUCUCUCAACUGAAGCAUGAUUCUAUUCCAAUGAAAUUGUUAGACAUUUCUGUCACAGGCUUAUUUCUCUUCUAAACUCAAUUGUUUGAUAUAAAUGUAUAUGUACUGUACUAUGGAAAAUGAACACAUGUACAAAAAGCUAUGUGCUACUAUUUUAAGGCAAAGCUACCAGAUGCAGACAUGGCUGUAGUAGUGUGUGAUUUAAGUAUCAGGAUCUGGACUGAGUUUAAUGAGAAUGUGAGUCUGAACGUUUUUUAGCUGAAUGAGUAUUAAAUUCAAAUGUAGUGCUGCUCUGCGUAAUCUUAAUCUCAAAUUUAGAUUUACUACCUAAUAAAGUGACAUCAGGUUACGUAGGUUUUGAGAAAUACCUUAAAACACAGAGCUGGAAAAAGCCAAUGCAAAAUCCAAAAAACAUACAAACAAACAAACAAAAGAAAAACACUGAAAACAUUGUCAAUGCGUUUGUGAAAUUUUGAUUUCACAGGCAAUAAAGCUUACAUCGCAAUAUAUGUUUAUACUGUGUCAUCAACUCAGUUAUUUCUGUUCUGCAUGAAAAGACAAAUGAAGAUUACUUGUAUCUCUUCUAGUCUACUGUUGUGCUUUUUUGCACAGUCUCUGUGAUUAACACAAUUAUAUAUACCCAGUUAAACAUAAUAUACCCCUCUAUACAAAAAGAAGCAGAGGGAGGAACCUUGAUACUUGUACUGGGGACAACAUGAGGUCAUUUACACACAGACUAAUGCAAACCACCGGAUUUGCCAAGUCUGUCGGUUAACUCGUGGACUAAAAGUUAACAGCCUCAUGCUGCCUUCACAGCAUCCUGCUUUUGUGACGUGAAAGUGAUGCUCUGACCGACCCAUCAUGUCCUCAUGCAGAAGUGUUUGUUUAUACUUAAACCCCCUGCACUCCUGCUUUCCUGUCUCUAAUGUAAAUGUAAAAUGUCUCCUGUGUCCUGCAAAUAUAAAUGUGGAUGGAUAAAAUGAGAGGAUUUGAGUGUUCAGCUGAAAAGCACUGCAAUGUGUAUUACAGUGUGUAUUAAUAACACAGUGUUUCUCAUACAAAAUUUAGGGGGCUGGUUGAAAACCCAGGCAUCAAUAUCAGUUAAUGAUCAGGCUUCUUCUGGGGCAUCUAGCAUUGCACGGGUCAAGGGGCCAGCCGUCGGUCUGCCCACAGCAUGCCUGUGCGCUGUCGGAGACACAGCCCAGGCUGUGACCGACGCACCUCAUGUUCCAGACGUUCAGUGUCGGCGGAGCCUCACCUGACGCCACAAAGCAGGGAGCAGGUACACCCAGCGCUCAGUAAAGCUCAGUGCUGUCCAGUGCAUCAGAAUGUAGGGACAAGUCAUUCUUCCACAGCCAGUGAGGACGAGGGCAGAGCUGAAGUGAUCCGAGUCUUUCACAAGCCUGCUCUCAGACUGACUGCAAAACCAGAAAAGAGUUCUGCACAUAAAUGACAGUUCAUUUCAUACUGUUAUGAUUCCAUCUGUGUAUAAUAUACAGGCUACAAGAGAUGUCCUAGUUGAUGUUUUCUUUCUGUAUUGUUGCAUGUUAAUUGCAAGUGCAUGAGUCUCACUACAUAGUCGUACAGUUGCAUGUAACAAUACAGAUUAAUGUAAGGCUUUUUUUAAAUAAAUGACUAACAAAAACAAUG